UACGUAGGGGGCAAGCGUUGUCCGGAUUUAUUGGGCGUAAAGAGCGUGUAGGCGGCCAGACAGGUCCGUUGUGAAAACUCGAGGCUCAACCUCGAGAUGUCGAUGGAAACCGUCUGGCUAGAGUCCGGAAGAGGAGUGUGGAAUUCCUGGUGUAGCGGUGAAAUGCGCAGAUAUCAGGAGGAACACCAGUGGCGAAGGCAGCACUCUGGGACGGUACUGACGCUGAGACGCGAAAGCGUGGGGAGCAAACAGG
rnacentral:rRNA from 1 species